UGCCCUUAACUCGCAAAAAAAAAAAAAAAAAGUACACUCAAUGAUUUUAGGCCAAGUCAAGUAAGUUGGAGUAUGUAUCAAAAUCUAACCCAAAAAUACAGCCCACAACCCAAACAGUGAAAACAAAAUAAAAAUGAUAACUUGACCUAAAAAAAUAUGUCGACGGCUGUCCUCCAUUGUUUGCCUUCCUGAUUCAUCUUCUUCCAAGCAAGCCUUCAAGACUCUGCUCUUAUUCUUCUUCUAGCUGGACUCAGGAAAAAAGUAACCAGAAGAGAGAGAAAGAGCAGAGAACACACGGAGGAAAGAAGAGGGAGUGGAAGAAAGAAGAAAAAAUGUUUUCUUAUUAAAGGGUACGUUGGUUUAAGGUAGACUAAGGUGAAGAGUGGGACGAGUCUUUUCAUCGAAGAUGAGAAGGUGGCUAUGAGAUUCAUACAUGAAGCAGUGGAAACUAUAAGGCAAAAGAUUAAAGAGAAUUUUAACAAUGUCAAAAAGAGAUUUACGAACGGGUUGAAUCGGUACAGUUUCAGGUGUUACCAAAGGUUCUAAUAAAGUUGGAAGCCACAAGCAAUGACUCAAGACGAUGUACUAUUGAUGGAAUGAAUGAGAGUGAAUAUAUUGUACUGGCUGAUAUGGGUGACAUAACAAUAGAGCACAGUUCAGGAGGCAAUUCAAUUGAAGCCUUGGUUGAUUCUGAAGAAAAAUAAUAUAUAAUCAGCAGCACACAGAGAAAAAUGAUACUAACACUGGCUUAAGGAAAAGUUAGAAAGAUGAAACUUCUAGGAACAGCUAAAUAUAGCCUUUGCACUUGUUUCAUGGGCAAAAACUGUAUGUUAUUUCCAGAAAGCAUCAAGCAACUUUACAGAUAUGCUUGGAAUGAGAAGAAAACAGAGAAGAGAAAACUAGGGGAGAAAACUAGAGGAAAAGGACAUUUUAUACGUUUGUUUACUCCUAAUUUCUUCCUAGAGAGAGCGGAAAAACUUUAUGAUAGAAAUGAAAGAAUGUUUUUUUUCUUCUACUUUUCUCUCAUUGAUUUCUUUCCUUCCUAUUUUCUUCCCAUUCCAAAUGGAGGGUACCAGUUCAAGUUCAAAUACUGGAAUCAAAAUUCAAACCUCUUUCCUUCACUUGUCUAUUUUUGAGUAGGUAAUUUUGCAACUUAAUUAUCUGCCUUCCAUUAUAUGGCUUUUGCUUUUCAAAAGACAAAUGAAUUCCAUACCUGAAAUGCAGGAUAAGUGAUGAGAACAUGACAGAGUAAAAAAAACCUAUGGAAAAUAUUAACUUGAAAACCAGACCUCAGCCACAAAUAUUAUCUUACUUUUUUGCAAAGUAUUUUUUGCAUGUAAUUGCUUCACCAUUCCUAUUUCUUAGCAGGGAGUUCCCAUCCAAUUCCAUUAUACCAGUAAUGAUAUAAAAAUGACCAUUAUGAGGAGUAUAGACCAAUGAAUUUUCAAGUUCGCAGGAACAAACAAAACCAUUUUGAGUGUAUACAUUUGCAAUAUGAUUGUUGCAACCUUCUUGAGAUGAAGGCCAGUCAAUGGUUAAAGGUUUUUGUUGUGUGGUAGUGAAAGGAAGUAGAAGAUAA